rnacentral:rRNA from 1 species
GACGAACGCUGGCGGCGUGCUUAACACAUGCAAGUCGAGCGGAAAGGCCCUUUCGGGGGUACUCGAGCGGCGAACGGGUGAGUAACACGUGAGUAAUCUGCCCUUCACUUGGGGAUAACCUCCGGAAACGGUGGCUAAUACCCGAUACGACCAUUCCUCGCAUGAGGUGGUGGUGGAAAGUUUUUCGGUGGGGGAUGUGCUCGCGGCCUAUCAGCUUGUUGGUGGGGUAAUGGCCUACCAAGGCUUCGACGGGUAGCCGGCCUGAGAGGGUGACCGGCCACACUGGGACUGAGACACGGCCCAGACUCCUACGGGAGGCAGCAGUGGGGAAUAUUGGACAAUGGGCGGAAGCCUGAUCCAGCAACGCCGCGUGAGGGAGGACGGCCUUCGGGUUGUAAACCUCUUUCACCUGUGACGAAGCGAAAGGGACGGUAGCAGGAGAAGAAACACCGGCCAACUACGU